GGGGGAGUAGCUCAGCGGAAAGAGCGUAGCGAACUUGCAUACUGUGUGUUUCAUACCUAAAGAUCUGACAUCAGCGUGCGCCCCGCGGUUCCUAAGGUCAUGGGUUCGAAUCCCAUCUCUCCUA